rnacentral:rRNA from 1 species
GUGAAUCAUCGAAUCUUUGAACGCAACUUGCGCCCCCCGGGGCAUGUCUGCCUGAGUGUCGCAAAAACGUAUUGCUGGCUGAUUGGCGAUUGCUGGCUAAUUGGCGAUUGCUGAUCGAUCAGUGAUGAAUUGGGCAGGUCGCACUGCCUGAAAUGGAGCAAGAGGAGGGGCGCGUGGCUCCUGCUGCCGUGUCUAUAAGCCAGCGCAAUAGUCAAAAGCUAUUGCUGAGGUUUGGUCGCACUGGGACUCGCAUCCGAUCCAACUCAUUUCACUCUCUGACCCUUCAGGUCAGGCAAGACUACCCGCUGAACUUAAGCAUAUCAAUAAGGCGAGG